UUAGGACAGAUGUAUAAGGAGCAUAUACACGCUUUUAUACAAAUCUUCAGUUAACAGUCGUGGAAAGGACUCAAGCUCUACUCCAUCUCCACCUCCUUGGGUUUGGGUAAAUUCUCAGCAGGAUUGUGCAUUAGGUGAGUGUCUGCUUCUCCCCUGGGUCCCCAUAACUUUGCUUGCUCCUAAACAGGGAGUCACAUCUGGGAAGAGACAGUAGAUAAUGGAGCCAGAGAGCUGACUCACCACGUGGGAUGGCUGUGGGCAAGUUUCCCAGGUUGCACAAGCCACCGGGUUUUCUGAAACAGAUGGAAAGACCGCCUCUGCAGGCCGCUGGCUGACUUCAAGAUAGUCGUGCUGUAUCAAGUGGUGUGAGAAGGAAAGACCCAUAAGAGACUUUGUCAUCCAAGUUUCAGAUUCCCCUGGAUUCCUUAGCGAUAAGACAUGCAUGGCUCAUUACAUAUUCUAUUUAUGAAAUUUC
rnacentral:lncRNA from 1 species